UCAGGUUAUUCCUAAACGAGAUUCACUUGCAACCUAGUACGAAUUGAUGUGUGUUUAGAAAUUUCAUCUGGCUAAUAUUUUAAAACGAUUUUUAUACUGUAUCUUGCUUGAGGACAAGCAAAAGUCUAAGUAUGGGGGAGUUUGAUAACAUGAAAUAAUAUCACAUUUUUGGACUCGAUUUAAUUAAAUUAUAUUAUUAUUUGAUUCGAUUUAUUUU
rnacentral:lncRNA from 1 species